AUGACUUUUGGCGUGGGUCCUGCCCGGUGUUUCCGCCGUGGCUCUCACGGCCAUCUCUUCCCCGGAGGAGAGGGUCCUGCUGGCGAGCGGGGAAGCUUGGUGGCAUUAAAGCGUCAGUAGGAUGUCAUUUGUGCUGCAGGGAAACGUCGGGAAGGGCUCCCGAUUUACCGAGACCACGGGGGAUUUCAAAGUCUCGCUCCAAAUAACUUGUGUUAAGAAGUGACGGUGUUUAUUAGCGUCUUCAAAAACCUCAGCCCAGCCACAGGGACUUUCCCAGUCCAGCCAGAGGAAAGGGGCACUGGGGCUCAGGGGCUGCUGGUCGCUUCAAGCCAUCCAGCCACUUUUCUCCUUUUCCAGUUCGUGCCUAAGACCCGCAAAGUGGACCUGUUAGCAUAAGCAUACGGAUUAACUGAGCCCUUUGACAAGUUUAUGGAGCUGCCAUCUCUCUGCUUGCUGUACUUUCUGUUUCUGAGAGGAGAAAGUGGUGCAUGAGAUUAGAGGAAAAUGCCUCGGACAAAGCAGAUACAUCCCAGAAAUCUGAGAGUUUAGAUAAUGAAGAAAACUGGAUUUCACUUUCUUCAGUCGUCUUAUCAGUCUCUGAGAGCAUUGCAGAAAAUAUUUGCUUGAACCUUCAGUUUUUGCUGGAACUUGGAACUGUUUCCUGACAGCUUAUUUUUGCGUAUGCAAAGUUAGACACAUCUUAAAUUGAUACUGUUAACUAACAAUUAAAAAUUUUAAAAAUGGGUGGUUUAGCACUUGGUUUAAUCCAUGGUAAUUAGUAUUGAUGACAACUAAGUGUGCAAAAAAACAUAAAUGUAUAUAGUCGAAGGUGAAACUCAGCAAACUUGAAAACGGAAAAGUAUGUUCUGUAACAUUUGAAAGAUGAAGGUGUAAGAUUAAGUAACCUGUGUUUUUAUGGGUUUUUAGGUUAAAAGCUAUUUUUAAGUUGUCUAAACCUGAUAGUCACCUUUUGUACUUUGUACAAAGAACACUCCAUGGCCUUACCUGGCUUCUCCUUCCCUGCUGCCAGCUCCUCUCGUUGCCCCAUAGCAAUCAAAUUGCCAACAGCUUUAACUAGACUUGCUCAGAGCCCAUCAAUGUUUAACUUUUUUGGAGACACCCUUGAGACUCUCUAUGCUGUUGUGCGUUAGAAGGGUUGCACUUGCAGUCCAAAUCAGCCUGGAGAAUAAAUAACCAAAUCCAAGAACCUGAAGUAUUUUCCCUUAAACAAACCCCAAUACAAUCCUUCUCCCCACCUGCCAAAAAAACACACAGGAGAAAAACCACCAUAGAGAUCCCCCCCACACACUCCCAUUAGUUAAUUUGAGGUUUGCUGCAGUGUAGGAAUAAGUUUUGAAGGUUUUAAUAUUGGCUGUGUUUACUGUAAGCAACCUUAUUCUAUGAGGAAAAUAAAGUAAUGUUGUUUAAUAUAGAGA